rnacentral:rRNA from 1 species
CAGCCGCCACGGUAAUACAGAGGGUGCGAGCGUUAAUCGGACUUACUGGGCGUAAAGCGUGCGUAGGCGGCUAAUUGAGUCGGAUGUGAAAUCCCCGAGCUUAACUUGGGAAUUGCAUUCGAUACUGGUUAGCUAGAGUGUGGGAGAGGAUGGUAGAAUUCCAGGUGUAGCGGUGAAAUGCGUAGAGAUCUGGAGGAAUACCGAUGGCGAAGGCAGCCAUCUGGCCUAACACUGACGCUGAGGUACGAAAGCAUGGGGAGCAAACAGGAUUAGAUACCCGCGUAGUCCCUGUCUCUUAUAC